AUCAAGUGAGCAGUCAUCUCAGGAUUCAGAGGGCUCAACAUGACGAUUCAGGUAUUUACACCUGUAGGUUUCAUGACGAAACGCUAAUGACGUCAGCCCACGUCAGCGUAUUAACAGGUGGAUCAAACAACGUCAAAAGAGCUGGCUCGAUGACGGUGCCCCCAGAGUCCAGUGCCAUGUUGAGUGUCCAAUUCGCCAGUACUCACACGGCUUACAUCCUGUUUAUACUUCUGGUACACCGGUUGCUGACGUGACAGUCUACUCCUCCUUCCGUGCCCUCUCACCCCCCGUCUACCUCUUCUCCCAUUCCUAGUGUAGAUGAUGUGUAACUGUGGGAAGACAGACUCAACAUCCUCUCGGAGCAGACUCAAUAUCCUCUCAGAACUGACUCAACAUCCUCUCAGAACAGACUCAACAUCCUCUCAGAACAGACUCAACCUCCUCUCAGAGCAGACUCAACAUCCUCUCAGAACAGACUCAAUAUCCUCUCAGAACAGACUCAACCUCCUCUCAGAACAGACUCAACAUCCUCUCAGAACAGACUCAAUAUCCUCUCAGAACAGACUCAACAUCCUCUCAGAACAG
rnacentral:sRNA from 1 species